rnacentral:tRNA from 1 species
GGGAAUGUGGCUCAGUUAUAGAGUGCUUGCCUAGCAUGCAUGAAGCCCUGGGUUCGAUUCCUCAGUACCA